rnacentral:misc_RNA from 1 species
GGAGUAAAAGUCGUAACAAGGUUUCCGUAGGUGAACCUGCGGAAGGAUCAUUAUUGUAUAACCGAGGUGCGAGGGCUGUCGCUGACCCGAAAGGUCGUGCACGCCCGAGUGCCCUCACACACAUCCAUCUCACCCCUAUAUGCACCACCGCGUGGGUCCCCCUUUGGCUUGUUCGGAGGGGGGCUUACGUUUUCACACAAACUUUGUAUGCAGUGUAGAAUGUAUUUUUUGUUUUUGCGAUCACGCAAUCAAUACAACUUUCAACAACGGAUCUCUUGGCUCUC